rnacentral:rRNA from 1 species
UACGUAGGGUGCGAGCGUUGGUCCGGAAUUAUUGGGCGUAAAGAGCUUGUAGGCGGUUUGUCGCGUCUGCCGUGAAAUUUCGAGGCUCAACCUCGAACUUGCGGUGGGUACGGGCAGAACUAGAGUGUGGUAGGGGAGACUGGAAUUCCUGGUGUAGCGGUGAAAUGCGCAGAGUAUCAAGGAGGAACACCAAUAGCGAAGGCAGCUCGCUGGGACGUACUGACACUGAGGCGCGAAAGCGUGGGGAGCGAACAGGG